UCGCCGGCCGCCACCAGCCCCGCCGCCUCUCCCUGGUCUAUCUCCGUCGCCGACCCCGCCGUCCCGCGCCUCCAUAGCUUCCGCGAGCGGAACCCUAGCACCCCCAUCCGGCCGCCGUCGUGGACGAACCAACCUGGCCUCGAUCAGCUCUCCUGCUCCCCGACCUCCCUGCACGGCUGCCCCCACCCUUCUCCGGCGCGGUCCGGCUCCGGCGCUCGUCCAGGAGGAGGACGCCGACCGGUCCCUCCAGAUGCGCCCGUCUCCUCCGACAACCGCUCGCCUCUGCUCGGGAAAGAUGCUGGUGUAGCCUGACGGAGCCGCAUCACGCCGGAGAGGCGAGCCAUGGCCGACCACCAGAACGCGAGUCACAGACGGGAGAUGGCCUUAAUUAACCGCCACCAAUUUCCACCCUCGGCACGAGCAGCAGCUCCGUUGUCCCCUCCGACACGCACGCUGUGACACACGUGGAGAAUUGCAGACCAAGGCGGCGGUGGGUUUAGGAACGCAGACUAGUUCCACUUGGACAACGCUAGGGACAAGAACGACUACGGC